GAAGAGUUGUGUCCUGGGGUCCAUUUCACAAAGCAGGUUUAGUGAAAACUCUGAGUCUUUUAACCCUGAAAUCAGGGAAACUCUGAGUUUUCCGUUUCACAAAGGGAGAUAACUCAAACCAGAGACAGAGGGGUAACUCUAGCCUGUUUCACAGACAGAGGUGACUUAAGCUCUCGGUCAGUUACCGUAGUGACAGACCCUAUGA